rnacentral:tRNA from 1 species
GGUGCAGUAGUUAGGUCGGUUAGAAUACCUGCCUGUUACGCAGGGGGUCGCAGUUUCGAGUCCUGUCCGUAUACCGCUA